rnacentral:rRNA from 1 species
UACGAAGGGUGCUAGCGUUGUUCGGAAUCACUGGGCGUAAAGAGUACGUAGGCGGUUGAGUAAGUCGAUUGUGAAAGCCCCAAGCUCAACUUGGGAAUUGCAAUCGAAACUGCUCAGCUAGAGUAUGGUGGGGGAUAGUGGAAUUUCUAGUGUAGGGGUGAAAUCCGUAGAUAUUAGAAGGAAUACCGGUGGCGAAAGCGACUAUCUAUGCCAUUACUGACGCUGAGGUACGAAAGCGUGGGGAGCAAACAGG